UACUCUAGUCUAAUUCUAACACUCCUCAAGCUAGAGCAUAUACAUCAAUUAAGCCCAGCUUGGAACAUAUAGCAGAAAAUCUAGUAGAGUUGAGAGCUUUGGUGAAGAUGUCUGCGAGCUGAUCUGCUGAACUCAUGAAGGGUGUCAUAAUCUUGCCAUUCAAAAUAGCUUUUCGAAUAAAGUGGCAAUCCACCUCUUUAUGCUUAGUCCGCUGGUGAAAGACUGGAUUACUAACAAUAUAAAUUGUUGCUUGAUUGUCACAAUGCAUAAACAUAGACUUUGUAUAAACAACCCCCAAAUCCUCCAUAAAGGACUUAUGCCACAUCAUUUCAUAGGUAGUAUGGGUUAUUGCUCUGUACUUUGCCUCUGCACUGGAUCUGACCACCACAUUUUGCUUCUUGCUUUUUCAUAUGACUAAGUGCCCUCCAAUAUAAGUACAAUAGCCAGAGGUCGAGCGUCGAUCAUCCACUUGAUUGUCACAAUGCAUAAACAUAGACUUUGUAUAAACAACCCCCAAAUCCUCCAUAAAGGACUUAUGCCACAUCAUUUCAUAGGUAGUAUGGGUUAUUGCUCUGUACUUUACCUCUGCACUGGAGCUGGCCACCAUAUUUUGCUUCUUGCUUUUUCAUGUGACUAGGUGCUCUCCAAUAUAAGUACAAUAGCCAGAGGUCGAGCGCCGAUCAUCCACAGACCCUACCUAAUUUGCAUCAGAGUAGGGUUCGAUGUUAAGAUGUCUAGAUUUCUGGAAAAGUAGUCCUUUCCCUGGAGAGCAUUUUAUAUAAUGGAGAAUUCUAAAGGCUGCCUCCCAAUGUCCUCUUUUUGGCUUAUGCAUAUAUUGGC
rnacentral:lncRNA from 1 species